rnacentral:misc_RNA from 1 species
UAGGGAGACCUAAUCCAUUUAGAAAUCGAAGACAAUGAAAAUUGUCAAUAGAAACUAAAUUGGUCUAACCUAGGUCGUUCGAGAUUGGUAGACAUCUUUCAAAGUAUUAUUCGGCUUCGUUCAAAACCAUAUAUAAUAAAUGGAAAAAGACAGCACCUAAUUGUCAAAGUUAGACUGCUGGAUGAAAUUCCAGCCAGAACCUUGAGAACUGCAUAAGAGAACAAGAAAAAGCAGGCAGACACAGACAUUUAGAUGGAUGUGAAAGCAAAAGAAAUUGU